GACAGAGGGUGCAAUCGUUGCUCGGAAUCACUGGGCGUAAAGGGCGUGUAGGCGGGCGAGAAAGUCGGGCGUGAAAUCCCUAGGCUCAACCUAGGAACUGCACUCGAAACUUCUUUUCUUGAGUGCCGGAGAGGAAAGCGGAAUACCUGGUGUAGAGGUGAAAUUCGUAGAUAUCAGGUGGAACACCAGUGGCGAAGGCGGCUUUCUGGACGGUAACUGACGCUGAGACGCGAAAGCGUGGGGAGCAAACAGG
rnacentral:rRNA from 1 species